rfam:Yersinia pestis CO92 complete genome
UAGCUCAGUUAGUAAAACAGUUUACUUUUAAUCAAUUGGUUAAAGGUUCGAGCCGAGCAAAGCGAGACAGCAACGCGCUAGCGUUGACCCGAAGGGCGAGUCCGUAGGAUGAGUAAUCCCGCAUGAUUAGCAC